UACGUAGGGUGCGAGCGUUAAUCGGAAUUACUGGGCGUAAAGCGUGCGCAGGCGGUUCGUUAAGUCAGAUGUGAAAGCCCCGGGCUCAACCUGGGAACUGCAUUUGAAACUGGCGGGCUUGAGUGUGGCAGAGGGGGGUGGGAUUCCGCGUGUAGCAGUGAAAUGCGUAGAGAUGCGGAGGAACACCGAUGGCGAAGGCAGCCCCCUGGGCCAACACUGACGCUGAGAAGCGAAAGCAUGGGGAGCGAACAGG
rnacentral:rRNA from 1 species